rnacentral:misc_RNA from 1 species
UGAUUUGAUUUUGAGUUUUUAAUAUUUUUAAUUUUGCAGUUCGAUUCGAUUCUUGUAGAGAGAAAUAGAAAACUAAACCAAACUGAUUUCCCUCUCUAAAGUGUAAAUUAAACCGUUUUUCCUCUCUAAAUCCAAUUUAAUCUCCCUAUAUAUAUAACAUGUUAUCUUUAAACAUUAACCAUUUACCCAUUCUCAACCGUCCCUACCAAACAGUCAAUAACCUAGCCCUCACUUCUCUCUCUCUCUCUGCUCUCAAACACCACGAUUCUCCUUCUCUUCUUCCUCUUCUUCUUCGCAUCAC